CAGAACCACCCGACUCGCCGCAGGUCCAGAAGGCUUGCUUCCUCAACAGAGGUGACUGUCUCCAAGGCACCCCUGGCAGCCACCUGGACAUUCAACCGUCUCAGUCCUCAGAACCACCCGACUCGCCGCAGGUCCAGGAGGCUUGCUUGCUCAACAGAGGUGACUGUCUCCAAGGCACCCCUGGCAGCCACCUGGACAUUCAACCGUCUCGGUCGUCAGAACCACCCGACUCGCCGCAGGUCCAGGAGGCUUGCUUGCUCAACAGAGGUGACUGUCUCCAAGGCACC